GGAGGAGGGCUCACCGGAGCUGGAGUCGACAUAGUGAGACCUGCAGCAUCUACGCUUUUUGUGGGCAAAAGGCGCCAUCCCUGUCGACCUCGCAACUGGUACCACCUCUUACCCACUUACAGCGGCUCAAUCCUGUUGCUUGGGUUGCCCAUGGAGGAUUCCAGCCUCUGGCUGGUCCCCGACCACCCACCUUCUCCCUUAAUAGUAGUGCCACAUCCGACCACCCACCCUCUCCCUUAAUAGUAAUGCCACAUCAGGCCCUUCGGUCCCUGUUCCUCCGAUCUAAGGUUACUGGUACAAACUACAUUGCAGGCAGAACCUUCCGAAUACCCAAAGGGUGUUGUGCUUGGGAAGGUGGAACCGGCAAUGGCGGACACUGUUGCCUGUGAGGGAGGUUUACACAAGGUGUGGGUCAAGUUUCUCAUCUUGUUGCUUGUUUGGAGAGAAGGUGGUCAACGAAUGACUCCUCCUAGUGGGGGUGGGGGUGGUGGGGGGGGGGGGAGGGAAGCCCAUGAUGUGCCAUGAACACCAGGUAGCUCUCUCCAAAGCUGGGCCAUGCUGUGCUGCAAUAAUGGAAGGUCCCGAUAGAACAACCCAAGGAAGAAAUCAACAGUGUUCUUUCUUUCUUUUAUUCCCAAAAGAAUCAGUAAAUAAGACAUCAUUUCAUGUCAUAUAAUAUAGACUUUACACAUAAUUGGCUGACCAAUUAAGGUUUCGUAGUUUGGUGAGGGAAUUCAAUUGGGACUGUGUUUUGGAGUCUGAUUGUGGUGGAACCAACCUUUGGCCUAUCCGCCAUCAUUUUGCUCUUCUAGACUUUACAAAAGGGAAGCUUCUUUUCCUGCUUGGAUUAAUGGACAAAAUAAUCAUCGUUCCUAAAGGUCAGCAGUGUCUAGUUUACGAAGCUAAAGAUGUUACAUUCUGCCCAGUUUUCUGUGACGAAACAUUGUAUCAUAAGCUAUCGAUUACCGUAACAGUAAGAAGAAGAAGAAGAACGAAAGAAGAAGAAGAUAUGACCUCCGUUUAGCCAGAGAAGAAGCGGCUUCUUCUCCACAUCGUGAGUGGCCUCAAAGAACCAGUAGAAGAGCGCGCGGCCGUGGCUCUCGUUGACCGUCACGUACCCGGCGUACUGGCGGAAGCUCACCGGCGGCUGACCGGGGAGCCCGACCACGCGGUCGGCCUCCUGUUGUCGCAAGGCCUCGCGGUCCAAUUCCCUCGACCUGCCACCGCGAACCAAAGAGCAGGAGAAGAGAAGGACGAGGAGGAAAGAAGCGGAGGAGAUGGAGAAGAGUCGCAUUGUGUCAAACACCUAGCGAGCGAUGGGUGUUUGUGCGUGCAUGGGUCCGAUACUUAUAGUGCUUCCAUCUCCCCCCUCCCCACCCUUUUCCUUGUGUGGGUGAUACCACAAGAAAAAGGAAAGGAAUUCUGGUAAUAAUACUGGAGAAAGCUGGCGGGAAGUCAUCGGCUCAGGCUCGGCUCUCUCCUCCGUGUUCUGUUUUUGUGUUUGUUUGGGAUCGGAAGAAAGCUUUCUUGGCGAGGAUUGCGCCAACCAUGGCGUGUGUCGCGGCACGGCAGAGAACGACUUUUCCGUUGCAUCUGUGUAUGCGUUGUCUUGGUGUUGUUGCUGCUUACUGCUGGUGUUAUAGCGACGUCAACGGAGGUGGAUCCCAUCACCCGCUGCGGGCACAGCAAGGAGACAAACGGCAGGCGAUGCCACCGAUGCAGAAGCCGGCAGGACAUGGAGGUGUGAUUAGUCUUUGGCACUGACGUCAGAAUUAUUAUUACCAUUUCUUGCUGGGCAAAGAAUACAUGAAAGAGAGAACUCUCGGUUCAUCACUUGAAUAGGUUUGUCUUAAUGACACGUAAGUUUUUAUGAUUUCUUAUUAUUUCCCUU
rnacentral:lncRNA from 1 species